CUGAUGUUAGCGGCGGACGGGUGAGUAACACGUGGAUAACCUACCUAUAAGACUGGGAUAACUUCGGGAAACCGGAGCUAAUACCGGAUAAUAUUUUGAACCGCAUGGUUCAAAAGUGAAAGACGGUCUUGCUGUCACUUAUAGAUGGAUCCGCGCUGCAUUAGCUAGUUGGUAAGGUAACGGCUUACCAAGGCAACGAUGCAUAGCCGACCUGAGAGGGUGAUCGGCCACACUGGAACUGAGACACGGUCCAGACUCCUACGGGAGGCAGCAGUAGGGAAUCUUCCGCAAUGGGCGAAAGCCUGACGGAGCAACGCCGCGUGAGUGAUGAAGGUCUUCGGAUCGUAAAACUCUGUUAUUAGGGAAGAACAUAUGUGUAAGUAACUGUGCACAUCUUGACGGUACCUAAUCAGAAAGCCACGGCUAACUACGUGCCAGCAGCCGCGGUAAUACGUAGGUGGCAAGCGUUAUCCGGAAUUAUUGGGCGUAAAGCGCGCGUAGGCGGUUUUUUAAGUCUGAUGUGAAAGCCCACGGCUCAACCGUGGAGGGUCAUUGGAAACUGGAAAACUUGAGUGCAGAAGAGGAAAGUGGAAUUCCAUGUGUAGCGGUGAAAUGCGCAGAGAUAUGGAGGAACACCAGUGGCGAAGGCGACUUUCUGGUCUGUAACUGACGCUGAUGUGCGAAAGCGUGGGGAUCAAACAGGAUUAGAUACCCUGGUAGUCCACGCCGUAAACGAUGAGUGCUAAGUGUUAGGGGGUUUCCGCCCCUUAGUGCUGCAGCUAACGCAUUAAGCACUCCGCCUGGGGAGUACGACCGCAAGGUUGAAACUCAAAGGAAUUGACGGGGACCCGCACAAGCGGUGGAGCAUGUGGUUUAAUUCGAAGCAACGCGAAGAACCUUACCAAAUCUUGACAUCCUUUGACAACUCUAGAGAUAGAGCCUUCCCCUUCGGGGGACAAAGUGACAGGUGGUGCAUGGUUGUCGUCAGCUCGUGUCGUGAGAUGUUGGGUUAAGUCCCGCAACGAGCGCAACCCUUAAGCUUAGUUGCCAUCAUUAAGUUGGGCACUCUAAGUUGACUGCCGGUGACAAACCGGAGGAAGGUGGGGAUGACGUCAAAUCAUCAUGCCCCUUAUGAUUUGGGCUACACACGUGCUACAAUGGACAAUACAAAGGGCAGCGAAACCGCGAGGUCAAGCAAAUCCCAUAAAGUUGUUCUCAGUUCGGAUUGUAGUCUGCAACUCGACUACAUGAAGCUGGAAUCGCUAGUAAUCGUAGAUCAGCAUGCUACGGUGAAUACGUUCCCGGGUCU
rnacentral:rRNA from 1 species